rnacentral:rRNA from 1 species
AGGAUGAACGCUGGCGGCGUGCCUAAUACAUGCAAGUCGAACGAGUUCUGAUUAUUGAAAGGUGCUUGCAUCUUGAUUUUAAUUUUGAACGAGUGGCGGACGGGUGAGUAACACGUGGGUAACCUGCCCUUAAGUGGGGGAUAACAUUUGGAAACAGAUGCUAAUACCGCAUAAAUCCAAGAACCGCAUGGUUCUUGGCUGAAAGAUGGCGUAAGCUAUCGCUUUUGGAUGGACCCGCGGCGUAUUAGCUAGUUGGUGAGGUAACGGCUCACCAAGGCAAUGAUACGUAGCCGAACUGAGAGGUUGAUCGGCCACAUUGGGACUGAGACACGGCCCAAACUCCUACGGGAGGCAGCAGUAGGGAAUCUUCCACAAUGGACGCAAGUCUGAUGGAGCAACGCCGCGUGAGUGAAGAAGGCUUUCGGGUCGUAAAACUCUGUUGUUGGAGAAGAAUGGUCGGCAGAGUAACUGUUGUCGGCGUGACGGUAUCCAACCAGAAAGCCACGGCUAACUACGUGCCAGCAGCCGCGGUAAUACGUAGGUGGCAAGCGUUAUCCGGAUUUAUUGGGCGUAAAGCGAGCGCAGGCGGUUUUUUAAGUCUGAUGUGAAAGCCCUCGGCUUAACCGAGGAAGUGCAUCGGAAACUGGGAAACUUGAGUGCAGAAGAGGACAGUGGAACUCCAUGUGUAGCGGUGAAAUGCGUAGAUAUAUGGAAGGACACCAGUGGCGAAGGCGGCUGUCUGGUCUGUAACUGACGCUGAGGCUCGAAAGCAUGGGUAGCGAACAGGAUUAGAUACCCUGGUAGUCCAUGCCGUAAACGAUGAAUGCUAGGUGUUGGAGGGUUUCCGCCCUUCAGUGCCGCAGCUAACGCAUUAAGCAUUCCGCCUGGGGAGUACGACCGCAAGGUUGAAACUCAAAGGAAUUGACGGGGGCCCGCACAAGCGGUGGAGCAUGUGGUUUAAUUCGAAGCAACGCGAAGAACCUUACCAGGUCUUGACAUCUUUUGAUCACCUGAGAGAUCAGGUUUCCCCUUCGGGGGCAAAAUGACAGGUGGUGCAUGGUUGUCGUCAGCUCGUGUCGUGAGAUGUUGGGUUAAGUCCCGCAACGAGCGCAACCCUUAUGACUAGUUGCCAGCAUUUAGUUGGGCACUCUAGUAAGACUGCCGGUGACAAACCGGAGGAAGGUGGGGAUGACGUCAAAUCAUCAUGCCCCUUAUGACCUGGGCUACACACGUGCUACAAUGGAUGGUACAACGAGUUGCGAGACCGCGAGGUCAAGCUAAUCUCUUAAAGCCAUUCUCAGUUCGGACUGUAGGCUGCAACUCGCCUACACGAAGUCGGAAUCGCUAGUAAUCGCGGAUCAGCACGCCGCGGUGAAUACGUUCCCGGGCCUUGUACACACCGCCCGUCACACCAUGAGAGUUUGUAACACCCGAAGCCGGUGGCGUAACCCUUUUAGGGAGCGAGCCGUCUAAGGUGGGACAAAUGAUUAGGGUGA